GCAACUUUGAAGAAUGCCUCGGUUCUUUAGUUACAACGUUCUGUUUAACAUUACGAAAAUAGUCGUACAAGUCGUCGCUUCUUUUGCCCACCGAGAGUUGUCUCAUGCAUUCACUGACCCCUUGUGUGUAAUAUAUGUAACUACACAACGACAAAAAGUGGGGGAAAAAAGAACAGGCGAUCAUGAAAAUCUACCUUUAUUUAAAUGCAAAACCUCACAACUGAAAGCAAUACUAUAGCAGAGAAGAGGACUACUCGCUGGUUGGUGGAAGCUAAAAAAGAUGGAGGCCUGAGGAAACCAACUCGUAGGGUGCGGCAGCCAACAGGUGGAAAUAUAUUGCCUGGCACAGAUAAAGUAAGCUGAAAGACAUGCAAGUACUUAAUGUGGCAGCGGAUGAAGUAGGAAAGGUGCCAUUUCAGAUCCAAUCUUAGUCUGAUGAUAAUACUCCAUUGAUGCAAAGGAAAGAUGCAAGAUUUUGAACUUCACGUCCUUGUUUUAAGGGGUGGUUCUAAACUUCAAGGUCAAAGACUGAUUCCGAUGUGAAUAUCCACCAAUUUAAAAAGAACAUACAAAAGCAAAGCAUAUCAAAGCUAUGCCUAACGGCAUAAAGUAACAAUACUGAAGACGAAACAUGUUUUUCUUUUUAGGAAUUGACGGUAACUCAGGUAGUUGUCACAUCGUGUUCUGUCAAAUCAGCGAUAUAAAUCAAUGGUUCGAUCCACAGUAUAAGCUACAUUCCGUCAUGGUGUAAACAGAAAUAUACACAAGGCAUCUACUCGAAAGGAUUGUAUCAAAAUGUUCUAAAAAUAUCUCUGGUUGGUUUCACAAAAGCAAACUGUAUCAAAAGCAUUGGCCGAGAGCAAGCAAUAGAAUAUAAUAAUAGGCUUUAAAACCUUUUACACAACGAAAAAAGCAGGGACAACCAAUCACGUCGCUUUGAUUGUGGACCUUCGGAGUCCCAUACAGCACAUGCAAUCCAUUAAACGAUCAAAAACACAAUACAGAAAAAAUAACUUUUACAGCUGAACAUCAGAGAGACAACCUCGGUUGGUCUAUUGUGCUUCAUACAGAUUUGGCCUGACCUGUUUGUACAACAAUCAUGGGUGUCUAAUGUGUGAGCUACUGUUGUCGCAGAAGCCUCACAGAGCGAGCGAAGCUUACUCCUGUUUCAUGAGAGACUCCAUCACAGUUUUUUUUCCCUGUGCUUCAAGGUAAGAAAGACAUUUCGCUGAACUCCAGUGAUGUUCCUUUGUACAGCACUCAUUUCUACUCCUUGAAUCUGGUUCGCCCUGUGAGGACUCCAAGAUGAUCUGUUUGUUUUAUGCAGGAUCGCUUGACUGUAAACGGUGUGGGCAAUUUGAGUACUGCACAGGCAGCGGUGUAAAAACUUGAAUGCAGAAAUCUAAAUUGGUUAAUUCAUAAUUGUUUUACAUUCCUUUGUUCCAAAACAUUGCACAUGCCUUUAAGGAACACUUAGCACCAUGCAACCUGAAGAUGAGGUGGCACCAAAAGUCAAGCCUUCUGUUAUAUAUAUUUUUUUACAUUACACAAUAUGUUGAAAUGAAAUGUACUUUCAGUGUGUUCAUGUGCUGGUGGGGUACAAAAGCAAUGGGCAGAAAACCUUGUAAAUGAAGUGAAUGCCUCUAUGAAAAGCAACUCUUACUACAACUGGACUUUUAAUUUGAACUUGAUAUUUAUUAUCAUGCCAAAAUUCGAAAUUAAAAUGAUGUAUAGAUACUCAGAUACUGAUGUGGUAUGUAACACCAGCACAAAUUGAAUAUCAAAGAGGGUUGUGGCCUAUCAUGCCCACACCAGGAAUCUCGAUGCAUAUAGAGCAGCUUUUUUUUUUUGCUUCCAUAAGCUUUUGAUUAUUUGGUCAUUUUGUUAUAUAGCUCUCCAAGAAUGGGCACUUGGUAAAACACAAACGUCUGUCAAGGGGUCACAUUCCGACCAAUAGUAGACCAAUGCUCACUACAUCAUUUCACAUUUUGCUUAUUUGCUCGCCGGUGGCAGAAUUCAGCUUCAAAUAAACAAAACAGGAUUUUUUUUUUUAAAUGAGAGUGUACUGUUUAGAGGUGUCAAGCUAAGUAGCUACUGGUUCCUAAUCCCAACAGAAAAAGACGUUUUACAAGUCAGAUGUAGCUAUAAUUGGAUGAAAUUUUUCUUUGUAAAUUGAUUGAAUUUUCAAAUAAUAUUUCAUCCUUUAAACAGAUGAACACACAUUUAAAAGUGCAAUGUCCUGAAAAGCAUGUGAACACGACAUUAUUGUGUCUUUUCACUCGGCUGGUUCCUCAUCUUCUAUACUUGAAUUAUAAUGCUAACAACUUCGUCCUCCUGUUCAGUACCUGGACAACAGUAAUGAAUCAUAAAAGAAACAGCUGUGAAGAUGCAGGUUGAAACUAGUCCAGAUAAUGAUGGAAAAAGACGUCAGUUUUGGAUGAAAAGAUUUAGCCGUCGAUAAGGGGGUGGGUAGAAAUGAUGCUAGGUACAGUGGCGUGUACCACCAGAGGCGGCACGAUGUACAGUGGUGUGUCUCGUCGAGUUGGGCAGCGGCGCUCACUAUUCCUCAGAAGCGUGAGAGAGCUGCUUUUCAUACAAGCUGAGGACGUGAUGCACGAACUGGUACUGCUCACACGUUUGGAUCAUCCCGCCUCUGACAAAACACAAGCACAGGAAUUGGAGGAGGCAUCGUCCCUGUUCUCCUGCAUCUUCAAGGUGACUUGAGAAGAACAAAUCUCUAAUGAAAUAGGUGUUGCAUGUAUGUUUAAAAAAUUCUUUGUCCAUUCCAUCCGACAACAAGUGAUUCAUAUCGCUCAUAAUUCAAGCAGUAGUGAUGGUACUGGGUAUUUCCUACUUCAGGUUUGAUGAGCAGGCUUCUGGUAGAAGACUGACAUCCUGAAAAGGUACCAGACCAUCUCACAGGAUUCUUAAGAUCCACUCCCAGAUGGACGACACGGCAUCACACCCAUGACUAUUAAAAGGAUCAUUUUGGCCUCUCUUCCACGAGCAGAAUUCAUUCUGAAACGUGCAACUUAAUAAUAAUAAUAAUACUAAUAACAACAACAAUAAUAAUGAUAAUAAUCAUAAUAAUAACAAUAAUAAUAAUAAUAAUAACAAUAAUCCAUUCAAUGUAUUUAUUGAUCUAGACAUUAACUAAUUAAUAGUCAAAUUAACUCAGAGUUUAAUGCAGGGAAUGUUAAUGUCACUUUUGUUAUGUCACUUUUUUAAAGACAAAACAAAUAACUAGAAAAGAACAUUAAAAUAUGGAUGAAAAUUAAAACAAAUAAAUAGGGAUUGGAUUCCAAGAGAAUAAUUUCAGUUAAUUCGUUAUGGGUUAAUAAUGAAAAUGACAGAUAAAUUGUGAAUAAAAAUUCUUAGGGAAGUCCAGGUGCACCACAUACAAUGUGAUGUCAUAACGGAAACAUCAAUGUUGAAGGAAUCCUCAGCAUGGACGGGAAAAUAAAUAAAUCUAUGUGCUUUAUGUUGUCACUGCAGCCGCAUGUUAAUGCUUGCAAAUUUAACAAAAAUUUGAUCUUUCUGGUAAGAAAUAUUAAAAUGUGAAAAUAAAUUAAAUAAAUAAAGAUCGAGGUGCAUCCCUAAUAUAAACCUGUUUUGAUGUAAACAGCUUUAAACAAUAGCAAAUUACAAUAAAGUGUUACUUUUAUUUAUUUUUGUAGGUUUCUUUUUAAGAAACUGUCUUUUAUCGUUAAACAAAAACGACAACAAAAAAAAUUAUUGAAUAGCUGGUGUCACAUUCGUACACAAGAAAUAUCUCACCUGUCCAGACGGAGCUGACAUGUGGUUCUCAGUAUGUCCACCACACCCUCAGUUCUCAGCUGCCUGCACAGGAUGGAGGUGGCAAUGAAGCAGCCAGUUCGACCAAUGCCAGCGCUGCGGACAAAAGUGCACGAUGAUGGGGCCACUGGAUGGCAGCGCUUCCUCUCUGGCUCUUUCCACUUCCUGCACGAGCUCGAGAAGUGGUGGCGCUUUGUCCGGUGUCUUCUGGUCUGGCCAUGAGGUGUACCAGUACUGUUGCAGGCUCCUCUCCUCAUCCCCACACUGUUCCACACGCACCGCACAAAUCAAUAACCAUAGAAGUCCGCCAUAGGUAGUAUCAUGACGUCUGGUGUAGUAUAAUUUGGAUUGGUUUAUUCAUUAUUAUUAUCAUUAUUUAUUAUUAGCAUUUAUUUUAUGUUAUUUUUAAAAAAGUCUUUCCUAAUUGGUGGGAUCCUCACUGACCUUGAAUAAAGCUGAUUCUGAUUCUGAUUCUGGAGUAACAUAGGACUGCACUCAGAACAACAUGAGCAUGAAAUUGAAAACACCUUCUAAAUUACACUCUAUAUAACAUUCACUAGGAUGACUACAAUACACUUGCGUAUCCCAUCAGAUUGCCCAUUGAGUUGCAGCAUGACUGUUGAGAGACUGAAAGACAGUCCUGUCCAACCUGAUAAGUGACCUUUGCAAAGGCCAACUUUUAAAAUCCCCAAACUGUAAGUCGGCACCACUAUUAGCAUCAUCUAGGGUGCUUACAGUCGAGAUGGGAGAUUAAGCUGCUAACCCUCUUAAGUGGUAAAAAACUGAGCACACUGGAAAGUUUGGAGUGAGGGAGGACUUGAGGUCACCACCCUGAAUAGCCUGGUGUCAGUGAUGGGAGCAGACAGUUCAUCCCAAGUUCUAGGGCGUUACAUAGACCUUUUGGUGAACUUGUAAUCUAGGCUGUUGUAGGGAUUGUUUGAGCUGAGCUCCCAGAACAUGGAUUUAAAUUCUUGAAUUUUGAAACUAAUAAUGGAUUGCCUAGACAACAUUACUAUGAAAAGAGUUUCUUACCCUCAAAGUGAAAACUCUCAGACUGUAGUCAUCUUCCUGUGUUACCGUGACAACGGUGAUCUCAAUGCCCUCGUGGGUAACAGUAUCUUCGGGCCAGUACUCGGCACAUUUCUACAAGGCAGAGAAGAAGCCCACCUAGAGUGAGUAACUCUGAUGCACUCAUCUUAUUCACCGUGAUGAGUCUAUCUCCCCACGCUGACCUCGUUUUUCUCCUCCAGGUUGGUAAUCAUGACAAUGAUGGGGCAUCGCUCUUGCCACACCAUCCUCCAGAAGUCCCCGACCGUGUUCACAGUUGGACCCUGUGUAGCGAUGUACGCACACUCUUCACCACCGUAACCCUGCGCACCACACAAAAAGUCAUGUCGCGAAAGGUCAGUGGCAUUUCAGUGCACGCUGAGGAGACAAUAUGAGGCUGUGGUGAUUUCAGUGUCCAUUAUUUCAAAACAGAUCUUAGUCUUAAUAUGCUUGUGGGUGAGCAUCAUCCCAGCAGUGACCAAAACUUCUCACACGGAUGGCAUCAGCUAACUUAAUCUUAUUGUCUAGGCCCUCAUGGAUGAAUUUCUCACUCUUGCUUUGAGAGAAAUUUCAUGCACUCUUUAUAUCAAACUUUUUUCAUGCACUUGUAUCCAAAGCAGAGGUGGGUAAACUGUGGCUCAGGAGCCACAUACGAUCCCAUGCCUUUGUUGUUGAGGCCCUCAUGAGGUGGUAUUUUGGUCCAUAUUUUAGCUGUAUUAGUUAUUUUAAAGGUUAUGUUAAUCUCCCCUCUAUCCCCUCGGCAUUGCUUGUAACUCAAAAUAAAACGUUAAACGGUAUAUAAAAAAUACCUCGCGAUAAAAUGCCUUCACAUCAUAGUUACAUUCAGUACUUAUGCCAUAGCUACCGUACCCUGAUAUUCACUUUCAAUAUUCAUGAUUAAUGCAAUGAAUCUUAAAAUAAAAUGUGUAUAAAAUGAAAUAAAAUAUAAUCUCCUUCCUUUAUAAUAUCGUAGGAAAUAAAUAUUUUUUUGGCCCCUUUCAACAGUCACAGGAUACAAUCUGGCUGUUCCAACCGCUAAAGUUUGGGUGAAAAACACGAAAACAACGGGCCGAAAUUUCAAAUGGGCUGAACAAAAAACAUGUUUAUAGAACAGCUUGGAAAUGUCAUUCAUUCAUUGAUAAGAAACAUUUUUUUAAAUAAUUAAAAUUUAAUAAUUAGUGGCAUGAGACCUAUGAGGUUUGCAUCAAAACACAAACUCUCCAUUGCUACUGACGCACAACACAGUCUAGUUGUGAAGUACUGAGGAGGCCGCAGCGAUAAUUUUGCAGCCAACUUCAUAUGAAAAUUAUGAUUUCAGUAAUAUAGGUUUGAAUUUGACAGCUUGGUUUGUAUUUCCAUAUCUUAAUAUACUCUACACUCAAUCUUCUGUUCCAUUCCAACGUCUUGGGAAGACACUUGUCGACCAGCACAAGAAAAAUAAGUCACCACAUUUUGGAAAUCUCAAUUCUCAAGUAGCGCUAUAAAAUGAGUUCAUCACACUGGUGACCUCAUGCGAUGCAGUCAUCUCACUUCUGACACCACGAUCACAUAUCCACUUACUUUCAGAUAAUUGGCAUUAAUGUAGGUAGAGAGGAAAUCGUCGUCAUCCGGGGACUUCAGAAUUACUCUGCUGUGUGUGUCUGGAGGAUUUAAAGGACACAAGCGUGGUUACAGUCGCUCCCAAUGUGUCUUGUUGUUGCCUUCCACUGGGUUGCAAGUGUACUCACUGGGUAGAAUGGUUUUAUAGCGGUUCUUUCUCACCAGUCCUGGAUAGUUAUACUCCUUCGGGUCCACAAAGUUCAUGGGAGUUUCCUGACAAACAACACAGAGCAUUAAUCAGCCAGAGCCGCAGCCCCCAGCCAUCAUCACCGCUGCUCUCAAAUGGAGAGAAAAUGAUGAAGACAUCCAGCCAGUCGCUACAAUGCAGACUAAUUGGUGCUUCAGUAGCUCGACUAACUGUAUCUUAUUGACUUCCCACAUGUGAUCCUGACUCUAAACCCUCUACCUUGCAGACACCAGAAUCCUCUGUGGGUUUCAUAUGCUAAUAUGGCUGUAUCUCUUCUCCCUCGCCCACUGAGAGACGGUGGAAGAGCUUACGGGUGUGCGCGGCUUUCUAAUGGAUGUUUGUGUGGAACUUGGUGUUUGUGAUGAGUCUGUGUUUAUCUGUAUUUGCGUCUGUUAAUCCUAGCGUGGGUGAGCUGCGCUAGUGAGACUCACAUAAAACUCCGCCUGCAGGCUCUGGUCAUCCAUUGCCCGUGUGUGAAGCAUAGCCGGGGUGAGGACAUGAGUUCCCUCCCGGAGGUAUUCCUGGGCCGACUGGUCUCUUGGGGACAACUGUGCACCGUAGCCAUAAGGCUCUGUGCAGCCUGGCGUACACAUGUCCAGGGUCAGGGAGACAUUAGAGCCCCUCCUGUGUGAUGAACAUAAGCAAAUACCUUCUGCAUGGCAUGUCCAAACUCCACACAGACACAUGAACGACAACUAUGUCUCACCUCUCUUGGAGUCCCACUGGUGUGACGAGGAGAGUUGGAGCAUCCCCGUCAUUCUUGCUGUCGUUCCCUAAUUCGAACACUGGAGUUUGUGGGACAGGGUCCAAGUCCUGGAGAUCCUCCUGAGCAUCCGUCCACUCUGAGAGGGUGAAGGAGGGCUGGCGACUCACAGACUGCCGUCGAUCAUUCAUCUCCUUUGGGCCCAUGGACCAACCAGAAGGGGCGGCGACUUAGGCUCCCUAUAGAUGCGUUCAAAGGCCAGCCACUGAGAAGCCUUAAAUGAUGGAAACCUAGUGGGGCUUGAGCACUAGCCCCUUUUCACCGCAUGAAAAAAAUGACCCUUCAAUAGACUAUUUC